rnacentral:lncRNA from 1 species
UUCGGCGAUGUCGGAAGCGAGGAGGGCGAGGAGUGCACGGGAAUAUAUCUGGAUUAGCACUUUUGUUUGUUUAAAAUAAAAAAAAUUAACUAGGGCCAAAAUUAGAGAAUAAUGAAGAAAAUCAGAGAACAAGGAAAAAAAGUUGAAGUUGCCCUGUUAAGAUAAAAUUGCACUAUUUUAAAAAAAUGUUGCACUAUUAUGUACAUAAGUUGCAGUAUUUGAGAUAUAAGCUGCAUCCUUUAAGAUAAAAGUUACACUCUUUAAAUAAAAAUUAUAAUUUUUGAAAGAUAUUUACACUUUUUCUCCUCUUAUUGUACUUUUUGAAAUUUAACUGUCUUUUAAAAUGAAAGUCGCACUCUUUAAACGAAAAUUGUCUUUUUUUAGAGAUAUUUAUAUUAUUUCUCCUCUUAAAGGGUACAGUUUAGUCUUUUAUUGGUACCUAAAAUUGCAUGACGAAUAAAAUUAACCAUAUUAUUAUUUCAUUAAUUUGUAAAAAUAACAUAUUAAAAAUUAAUUUUUAUAC